rnacentral:rRNA from 1 species
UACGUAGGGUGCGAGCGUUGUCCGGAAUUACUGGGCGUAAAGCGCGCGUAGGCGGACCUGCAAGUCGGGGGGUGAAAGCCCGAGGCUCAACCUCGGAACUGCCUUCGAUACUGCGGGUCUCGAGUCCGGGAGAGGUGAGUGGAAUUCCUAGUGUAGAGGUGAAAUUCGUAGAUAUUAGGAAGAACACCAGUGGCGAAGGCGGCUCACUGGCCCGGUACUGACGCUGAGGCGCGAAAGCGUGGGGAGCAAACAGG